rnacentral:rRNA from 1 species
AUUGAACGCUGGCGGCAUGCUUUACACAUGCAAGUCGAACGGUAACAGGCCGCAAGGUGCUGACGAGUGGCGAACGGGUGAGUAAUGCAUCGGAACGUGCCCAGUCGUGGGGGAUAACUACUCGAAAGAGUAGCUAAUACCGCAUACGAUCUAUGGAUGAAAGCGGGGGACCGUAAGGCCUCGCGCGAUUGGAGCGGCCGAUGUCAGAUUAGGUCGUUGGUGGGGUAAAGGCUCACCAAGCCAACGAUCUGUAGCUGGUCUGAGAGGACGACCAGCCACACUGGGACUGAGACACGGCCCAGACUCCUACGGGAGGCAGCAGUGGGGAAUUUUGGACAAUGGGCGCAAGCCUGAUCCAGCAAUGCCGCGUGCAGGAAGAAGGCCUUCGGGUUGUAAACUGCUUUUGUACGGAACGAAACGGCUCUGGUUAAUACCCGGGGCUAAUGACGGUACCGUAAGAAUAAGCACCGGCUAACUACGUG